UAAAAGAUAUCAUAUCAAAUUGGAAAGGAAGAAUAGACUAUAAAAAUGUUGGCUGCUUCCUACAAGUCUCACUUCAGUAUCGUGUCCUGAGGAACAAGAAUAUAAGAAACGAUUUCAAAUACCGUAUAUAAGUGUAAAAAUAACAAACAUGAUUUAACACAUAGAUAAGAAAUUAACUAAGAAAUAAAUCUCACAUUACUAUUACUGACAAAGUAAGAGACUCGGAUUUAAAUGAGUGUAAAACUGAUAUCUGAUAUGAGAUAUUCAAAAACAUUUGCAUAUCUGAAAUUAACUGUAAGCUUUUAAAUUCAUAGAAGUAUCUUAUCCUAUAUUGCCUUACGAUAAUUAGUUAAAACAAUGUCUUCUAAACAAUAAAUAGUUAGUGCCUGAUAACACUGAUAUAGAGGAGUGAAUAACUAUUGCUAAUACUGAGCUUGGCUUUUAAAAAUUAGGCUAUUUGGAAAUAUUUGCCACCGGAAAUACUGACGUAUAAAAAUAACAAUUACAUUUUGAAAUCCUACAUUCUUAAGUAAUUAAGUUUACAUAUAUUUUAUAUAUACUUCCUUUAAUCUUGAAACAUAUCUCACUAUUUAAUUUAAAUUUUCACAAAAAUAUUGAAAUGUAAUAUAACGAAAACAUAUCUUUAAAACGGUAUAAAAAUAUUUUAGGCCUAUUCUCCUUCGGCAUACACAAUCUAAAGACUAGGUCAAACAAAUAUAUAGAAAGGAAUGAAAUUCAUUUAUUGACAGUUAUUUUAAUUGUCGCUGUUUGUUUAAAUAGUGAUUUUUCAGAUGCCUUCUUACAAACAUUAAAUCAAAACUGUAGAUUUUCUGAAUUAACAGGGGUGGAACUGUAAAUUAAAUUCGGCAUUUAAACAUAAGAAUCUUAAAGUGAUUUUAACAGACAAUAGAUUACACAUAUCUUCAGAGGAAACGAUUUAGUAACAAAAUAAACGUGUUGUAACACUUUGCAGAUUUUUUCACAAAUUGUGUUAUAAAAUGUAAUUAGGAAAUAAGUUCUGUAUUCAGUAAUUGGAAAGAAGUAACGAUGUAUAAAUGUGAUUAAGACUUUGUAUUUAUGUGUGUAGUAGAAGAACGGUUCUGUGUAAAGGGGAACAAGAAUAACUGAGGUUUUGUUUUAGUGUUAUAACUAAACAGGGACUUGAUGUGAAAACAUUAAUUUUCAGUGUUAAAGUCCUGGUUAUGACUAAUACUUUUCGAUGAUAACAACGGACAUAUAGUAGGAAGAUAACUAGACCAAGUGCUUCUAAAGAGUGUUAGUUGUAUAUCUGUGUAGACAAUUUCCAUUAACAGACGCUGAAAUCAGUGCUGCUUUGCGUGUCGUUCUGCUGUGCAAGAAUAAAUUACACCUUAUACAUAUCACUACGAAGCCUUUCAAGUUGAACUUUAAUUCUCCGAGGUUUCCAAGUGCCAACUAUUCUCUUGUCGUAAGUGGUGCACUAUACUAUUAACAAUUGUUCAUUAUUGAAACUUAAAAUGAUAAAAAAAUGUAAGAAGUAAUUAAUACGCAUUGUUAUCUUUUAGCUAUAAACUAAAGCACUGUCUGCUGCUUGCCUCGCUUCCAAAUAUUUACUUGCAAAAUCAGUACAAUGAAUAAAAUAUAUUAAACAGUUAACAAAUGAAAACAUUGUAUUUCCGCUACAGCUGCUGUUUAUGGGACUUCUAUCAGUAGUAAUAAUAACAGAAAAUGCUUCCUUGGUCAAUCUGCAAAAAUUUUACCUUCCUGCUUGAAUUACGUAAAGCUUUAUUCUGUUUGAAUUAAAUAAUUUACCUAUAUUUUACACAAAUCCAGAAAAUGUGUCUUGUGGUUUAAAAUUUGUGCCAGCUGCAAUCAGAAAUGCAUUCAUAUAGUUAGGUACUCUCACAUUCUUUUCAAUUUGAUCGGCGUAGUUCAAUGUUUCGGUCAUCGUCACCAGAUUUUGUUAGCGUGCACAUUUAAAUCUUUUAUUUUACAAACAAAAAUGCUUAUUCAAAAUUAUUAGUUGUCUCUGGUACUCACACAAAGAAAAUGUAAGUGGCAAGGUACAAUUUUUGACGCAGUGCUGUGUAAUUGUUUUAGUGAGAGCUUUGCUUUCAAAAGACGUAAUUUAUAUAAAAUUAUAUACAACCAAGAUAUGUACAAGUAAACAUAUUAACGAUUGAACGGAAGGAAGGAAAUGAUGUCAUUAAAUUUUAUAUUCCUUUAAUUAUUUGGCGUAGUUAAUAGAACAAGGAAAUGAAAUAGGCCCAUUACAGAUUAUAUCGAUUGUGAAAACACGUGUGUUAUUUCGCGUUCCAGUUCUUACCAUACAAAAAAUAAAGACCUCUUGUGAGAAAGACUUGUUAAAAUUACGCGUUUUAAAUUUUUAAAGUCGUCAAUUAGUCGUUAUAGUAAAACAGUUGAUUGUCUAAAUGAUACCCUGUUUUGUAGUCGUAAGACAUUGGCUCUGUUCCUGCCGCGUCAUAUAACUGGACACCAUGAUUAACAGUUCCUUCCACGAGCUAACGCUAUGUCAAUUAUGCACCUGUAAUAUUUUUCAACCAAGCUUAAUGACGUCAUUUCUUGCAAACCUGUCUUCUGCAAAUUAACUAAUCAUAUCUUUGUACAUACUGAAUGUUUGUGUUUUCAUUUGUACAUAAUAGUAACAGUAUCCUGAGUUAUUAAUAAAGGCGUGGUAGAUACCACCGUACUGAAUCAUCAUUCUAAUGAAAAUAUAAAUUAAAACCAGUGUACAUUUUGUAAUACUCAUAGAUUUCGUAAUUUAAAGAAACAGUUCACUAAUUAUGUAAGGCUAAAAUAAUCAUGUGUUAUUUAAUGUGUAAAAAUUGUAUAGCAUGGCGUGCAUGUUUUAUUAAUGACUGGAGGAAUAUGAAGACAGAAUGAUGUGAAAAUGUUUGUAAAAUAAUAUAAGCUUAUAAGGCCUUUUGGAAUAAUAAUGCUCCUUUUUGCACAGCAAAACAAAAAUGGAUUAGCUGUAGGCUAGUAUUAUCAUAAUCAAAUUAUAUUCGGAUUCCGAGAGCACAGAGAAUUUAUUGACGUUUCAUUUCUCUCUGUACUUACAACGUUCAGUCUCACUUUGUAAAAUUAUUACAUUGUAAUCCCUGAACCUCAAAGCGACAACUUACAAAACAAUAGUCACCUAUUUUCAAGCUCAUAUGGUUCUGAAUAACCACCAGUUUUUCGUAUGGCGAUGCAGUGUAAUGUAUUUGAAAGAAAACUAUUGUGACUUUUUCUUUCUAAGCGUAUUCCAAACGUUUUGUAACAUGACAGUGUGUAAUUAACACUUAAUAAUCAUAUGUGGUGUUUGUGUAACUUCGAAAAUAUUUUUAUUGUUUUAUAUGAUUAAGGGAAUGUCGCUUCACGUAACGUGGCUCGAAGUCGAUGAACAAAAUAUGUUCGUGAUGUUGGUAAUACUAAUCGGGAAAUGGUUCAAGAUAUGACAAAAUCACGAGCCAUCAGCAAAAGCAGUCCCUAUAAAUAUUACAUUACAAAAAUAUAUUUCUCUGAAUAAAUUAGUAUUAUUGUGUUAUUGCAAUUCAGGAAAAUUUCUCGGUGAACUUCAGAUUUAUUACAGCUAUUUGUCCAAACACCAUUGAAAACUGAACGUUUUGAACGGUGUCACUAAAUGUGAUCUAUAGAAUAAAAUUUGACGUCAAACAUUUCACCACUGUCACACCUGUUUUCUUCAGAUUUUGUUCCGUCAUUUUAGAAUAAAACAAACUUUUUAUUAAUUUCAUAUUUGUAAUUGUAUUCAUUGUUUUCAAGAAAUUAAAUUGCGCAAUUUGCGACUUAUGUGAUGAGAGCCCAAUAAAGACAGUCCGUUUCGUAAAGUACCGUUACUCCAAGCGUCCUGUCUUCUGAACAUUCUGUUCAUUGCAAUUGCGUCUUUUAGUUUCAAUUGUAAACACACUAAAUUAUAUGUAUGCCAGUCAAUCCUUUAAUACACAGUGGUAUCUAUAUGUACCAUCUACAUUAACACACAGUACCUCUACAUUUUGCCCACAGAAUGUAUUUGUGGGUUUAUUAUGAUUAUCAGAAUAAACAUGCAAUUAUUUCCGUAAAAAAAUAUUAAACAUUGAUUUCAUAACGAUGAAUUCUGUACUCGUAAUUAACAGUAAUUUUUAAAGUACUACUUAGAUGCUUCAGAUUCUUACAUUGAAUGAUAAUGCUUGUAAUAUUCAAUGCAUAAUCAGACAGAAAUAGAAACUUUAAGUGACUGUCUGGUAUUUAUAAUUGGCCAUAACGUAAUUAACCAAAUGCCGUAUUCUAAUACAGAUCACUUAGCAUGUAUAUUAAUGCACUUACUAACUUUAUUACAAAUGCCGAGAGGAAUCAAAUCUCUCAAAGCCAGAACCAAUUAAAGUUUUGCAUGGGCUGUAAGAGACACAUUUCAAUCGGCCGAAAAUGUGUAAAAAUAUUAAUAAAUUUAUCUCAAGUGAUUCAGUUGUAAAUAAAUAUUAAUAUUAGGUCCUCAUUUGAAUAUUGCCUUCGAUGGUACUUUUGGAUGUAACUUUGUGUUGUGCAAGAUAAUUUUUAUACUUCCUAAAGUGAAAGAAUUCUGACUGGUAAUACAGUUUCUGUUUAGGCAUCGUAAGUAAAUGCACUCAAAAUCAUUACUUGUUUGCCGAGGCACUUUGUAAAAUCCUCUUCUUGCAAUAAAAUAUUCACUUCAUUGUUUUAUAGCUACGUGUCACAAAGCUACUAUGGUAAUUUUCAUAUGUUCUGUCGAUAUUAAUAUUUAUACCUUUUAUUAACCUAUAAUUCUUAUUUAAUGUACAUUUUAACACUUAAAAUAAAUCUCUAAAAGUGUUUCAUGACGUCAGAUCGCAUAGUAUUGCCGUACAUUUUAACGAGAAGCCAUCAAAAUAUAAGUAAUUCCUAACAUAGAGCCUGAAGAUAAUUUUGAAUUAAUUUCUCACUCAGCAACAUAAUGCAGUGUACUCAUAGCCCAUAUGAGCGCCACGUCAAGAAUUAGGAAUUGAACUUAGCAAAAAGAUGACAACCUUCCGUGAUUUUGCGCCGUGUAGUCUCGUAGAAAUCGGCCGACGUUUCAGAGGUUCUUACUGCCUUUAUUAUAUUAUUAGCUCCCUGAUAAUGGCGGCAACAAGCACAUCUAGAUCGUCGUUUAUUUCCUACGAGGCAAUACUGCGCAACACCCCAGAAAGCAGUCACCUUUGUUCUUACUGCCGUGAGAACCUAAAAUCUUACCAUCAAAUUCCUAGAACAUUUAUAACAAACAGCAAAUCCUCUGGGGCAUUCACACCCCACGGAACUUGUAUAUUUUCUAUAGGAAAUUCGAUUAUUUCGAAAGAUUUUAAUAUUUUUCCAUAACUCUACAAAAUACAUCCAAAUUCAGUUGACUUUUGUUUCCGAAUCUGAACAAAUAAACGGCAUCACAAAUUAUUUUACAUUAUCAAGUUCAGUAGCCAGACUGUAAAAUGCAACUUCUGUAGCUCAUUUUAACCGUAAAGCCUAAAUAUACGUUGACGUCUAUUUAGUGAAAACGCACUUUUCCCUAAUAAUAACCUAUAAGCGCUAGUUAUUGUUAGUACUAGGCCUAUUAUUACAUUUAAAUUACAUUUUAAUCUUAUAAAUCUACGCUUACUCAUUUUCAGUGCCAGACAAUUUAAUUUCGUCAAUAUUGAUACCUAAUAAUGAAUAUAGAUUUUAUUGUUAUGUAUAUAUUAUCUAUCUUAGAAUUCGCCCAAUUUAAUUUCAAUAUAAAAAUUUGAAGUUUUAAUUUCAAAUGCAACUCAUUAAUGGAAACAAUUCCUGGUUGCUUGGUAACAGAGCUUUAAAUAAAUAAAUAAAUAAAGUACAUUGCUGUGCUACUUCGCACGAGAGUCAUACCUUAACACUUCGUUAACUUUCCUACGCGUGUUUUCAUUUGCCUGUUGUAUACGGCAUAUUCCAUGUUCUACCUCAAGUGAUUAACACCAGAUGGAUACGCUAUACUGUGCAUCACUUGACAGAUGUUAAUAUCACGGAUCUUGUGUGUUAAGUUUCACUAACUUAUAUGUGAUUCAUCACCUGCAAUUUAAUUACUUUAUGGCAUUUGGUUUUUGCUCAUGACAUAAUGUGAAAAAAAUACAAUUAGAACAGAGUCAAAUUAGAUGAAAUGGAUCUAGAGGCAUUAGUCUAACGUUAACUUCGAUAAAUAGCUCUUUUGUCCACAAACCUCCGUAAUGUUUUACGAAAAUUCUUUAGCUACAUUCUUCUUAGAAGUGAAAAGAUCUGAAUGUGAAUCUUUAAACUGUCUUGGUGCGUCAGUCUUCGUUUGUAAGAAGUAUGGAAUAUAUACCGGAUAAAGGAGAACAGGCAUUUGACAUGGAGGAUUGAAUAAUAAAUUGGAGUAGAUAAAGCUUUGGUGAUAAGGCAACGUUGUUGUUUAAGGGUUUGUGGUCAGAUGUCGAAGGCAAGAGUGGCUUAAGUCAAUUGUUUGAAUAUUUUCAUACAUACAUCAAAGCAAUAACAGGCCAAAUACAAGUGUGUAACUAUGAAAAGAUUUCAGCUGGAAUGGAAACAAAUUAACUGCUGCAAAAAAAAUUGUUUUCCCCAUGUUUACAUAAAUACCAAUUAUAAAUGUUAUACAAUUAUGUAAUUGAAGCACAGAUGAUAAAGGGAUGCGUCAUUUUUAAACUUGUUAUUCUCUUUCAGGACGAAGUCAUUUAAUAAUUCUGACAAUGACUUAGUCACUUUUGUUUCCAAUUUACUAGUUUUAAAAUUUCAAUGGUUGUUAACAUUUUUGUCAAAAAUAGGACAGAAUGGACAGGAUGAAGCUGAAAAUAGGUUAAAUUAUCCAUUUUUAGAAUAUAUGCCUCUCUUACUUAAAUUACAGGGUAAACAAUUAGUUAUAAUGUUUAGAAACCUGUAUGUAGAACAUGAGUUACUUUUGUUUGUUUAGUGCACAACUGCAAAAUAAGGAGAUCUGUGUAUUUAGUUAAUUAAGAUCACAUUUUAAAGACAAAUGUAUAUUUCGAAAGAAGUUCUGUCAAAAUUACAAAACGCAUCGAAACAGCAGUAUAAAAACUGAAUUACUUUUUUAUCAUGACAUAAUGAAUUACUUCAGCCAUUGCAGUCGUAAUAUGCUUAUGCACAUUCUGAUUUUAAAUAAGUAGAUUAAUAAAUAUUGUAUUGUAAACCCCGUUGUUGCUAAUGGAAUUCGUUGUUUAAAUACAAACAUACUUCACAUACA